rnacentral:rRNA from 1 species
AGACAGGAAUUCCUGGUGUAGCGGUGAAAUGCGCAGAUAUCAGGAGGAACACCGAUGGCGAAGGCAGGUCUCUGGGCUGUUACUGACGCUGAGGAGCGAAAGCAUGGGGAGCGAACAGGAUUAGAUACCCUGGUAGUCCAUGCCGUAAACGUUGGGCACUAGGUGUGGGGAACAUUUCCACGUUUUCCGCGCCGUAGCUAACGCAUUAAGUGCCCCGCCUGGGGAGUACGGCCGCAAGGCUAAAACUCAAAGGAAUUGACGGGGGCCCGCACAAGCGGCGGAGCAUGCGGAUUAAUUCGAUGCAACGCGAAGAACCUUACCAAGGCUUGACAUGCACUAGAUCGCCCUAGAGAUAGGGUUUCCCUCGGGGCUGGUGUACAGGUGGUGCAUGGUUGUCGUCAGCUCGUGUCGUGAGAUGUUGGGUUAAGUCCCGCAACGAGCGGAACCCCUAUUCUAUGUUGCCAGCAAUUCGGUUGGGGACUCAUGGAAGACUGCCGGGGUCAACUCGGAGGAAGGUGGGGACGACGUCAAAUCAUCAUGCCCCUUAUGUCUUGGGCUUCACGCAUGCUACAAUGGCCGGCACAAUGGGUUGCGAGACUGUGAGGUUGAGCUAAUCCCAUAAAACCGGUCUCAGUUCGGAUUGGGGUCUGCAACUCGACCCCAUGAAGUCGGAGUCGCUAGUAAUCGCAGAUCAGCAACGCUGCGGUGAAUACGUUCCCGGGCCUUGUACACACCGCCCGUCAAGUCACGAAAGUUGGUAACACCCGAAGCCGGUGGCCUAACCCUUUUGGGGAGGAGCCGUCGAAGGUGGGACCGGUGAUUGGGACUAAGUCGUAACAAGGUAACCGU